AGCCAAGUCGUGAGGCGGAGCUAAUCCCUUAAAGCCAUUCUCAGUUCGGAUUGUAGGCUGAAACUCGCCUACAUGAAGCUGGAGUUACUAGUAAUCGCAGAUCAGAAUGCUGCGGUGAAUGCGCUCCCGGGUCUUGUACACACCGCCCGUCACACCACGGAAGUUGGGGGCGCCCGAAGCCACUUAGCUAACCCUUUUGGGAAGCGAGUGUCGAAGGUGAAAUCAAUAACUGGGGUGAAGUCGUAACAAGGUACC
rnacentral:rRNA from 1 species